rnacentral:rRNA from 1 species
GACGAACGCUGGCGGCGUGCCUAAUACAUGCAAGUAGAACGCACAGUUUAUACCGUAGCUUGCUACACCAUAGACUGUGAGUUGCGAACGGGUGAGUAACGCGUAGGUAACCUGCCUGGUAGCGGGGGAUAACUAUUGGAAACGAUAGCUAAUACCGCAUAAUAUUAAUUAUUGCAUGAUAAUUAAUUGAAAGGUGCAAUUGCACCACUACCAGAUGGACCUGCGUUGUAUUAGCUAGUAGGUGAGGUAACGGCUCACCUAGGCGACGAUACAUAGCCGACCUGAGAGGGUGAUCGGCCACACUGGGACUGAGACACGGCCCAGACUCCUACGGGAGGCAGCAGUAGGGAAUCGUCGGCAAUGGACGAAAGUCUGACCGAGCAACGCCGCGUGAGUGAAGAAGGUUUUCGGAUCGUAAAGCUCUGUUGUAAGAGAAGAACGGGUGUGAGAGUGGAAAGUUCACACUGUGACGGUAUCUUACCAGAAAGGGACGGCUAACUACGUG